rnacentral:rRNA from 1 species
AUUGAACGCUGCGGCAGGCUUAACACAUGCAAGUCGAGCGAACGGCGGACGGGUGAGUAAUGCUUAGGAAUCUGCCUAUUAGUGGGGGACAACAUAUCGAAGGGGAUGCUAACUCCGCAUACUACUAGAUGGGCCUAAGUCGGAUUAGCUAGUUGGUGGGGUAAAGGCCUACCUAGGCAACGAUCCAUAGCUGGUCUGAGAGGAUGACACGCCACACUGGAACUGAGACACGGUCCAGACGCCUACGGGAGGCAGCAGUGGGGAAUAUUGCACAAGGGGCGCAAGCCUGAUGCAGCCAUGCCGCGUGUGUGAAGAAGGCCUUCGGGUUGUAAAGCACUUUCAGCGGGGAGGCGUUACCCGCAGAAGAAGCACCGGCUAACUCCGUGCCAGCAGCCGCGGUAAUAC